CCUACGGGGGGCUGCAGUGGGGAAUAUUGCACAAUGGGGGAAACCCUGAUGCAGCGACGCCGCGUGAGUGAAGAAGUAUUUCGGUACGUAAAGCUCUAUCAGCAGGGAAGAAAAUGACGGUACCUGACUAAGAAGCCCCGGCUAACUACGUGCCAGCAGCCGCGGUAAUACGUAGGGGGCAAGCGUUAUCCGGAUUUACUGGGUGUAAAGGGAGCGUAAACGGCAGCGCAAGUCUGGAGUGAAAUCCCAUGGCUUAACCAUGGAACUGCUUUGGAAACUGUGCAGCUAGAGUGCAGGAGAGGUAAGCGGAAUUCCUAGUGUAGCGGUGAAAUGCGUAGAUAUUAGGAGGAACACCAGUGGCGAAGGCGGCUUACUGGACUGUAACUGACGUUGAGGCUCGAAAGCGUGGGGAGCAAACAGGAUUAGAUAUCCGGGUAGUC
rnacentral:rRNA from 1 species